UUCUUUUAUAAUUGAUUGCAAAUAAUUUAUUUCAGAUGAACUUCCAAUAAAACAAAUAAUUAAAAAACCACCACAAAUCAAUUCUCUUGUGAGAAAUAAGCCGAAAAUUACGUCAACUGAAAUAAUUGCACCUCAGCAAUCUUCAACUUCAAAAAUAGUUUAUAAGUUCAAAAUGUCGUUGAGAUUCCCGAACAAGGAGAAAAAGUAUCUAGUGGUUUUGAAGAAACUGUGCUGCGAAAACUUAACUCUAUAUUGUCAAAAUUGACUAUUUUAGAGAUUAGAAUAACUCAGAUAGAGUCACAAAGACAUAUGAGAAAAGUUUCAAAUAAAGACUUAUUAGAUGAAAUAGAGGAUGAAAUUUCUUUACCAAUAAAAAGUAUGGCUGAAUUGGAUGAAGUUGAAGAGAAGCUGAAAAAUCGUGCAUUUCUGGAAAAAAUGCAACUUCAUGUGGCUUCAAAGGCCAACGUCUCCACCUCUGGGACAUUCGUGGAGACACACGAAUACAAAUAAAAAUCACUUAUGUAAAAAGAUUCGGUGGAAGUGAUGUAAACGUGGUGACCACCGGCAUCCUAAAAAAAUAUUGGACGACUGUUUUGCAGAACAAUUUAGUUGGGAUGAUAAAAAGAACAAAAAGAAUUUAAAAUUCUUUUAAUAGCGAAAGUUUUGAAAAGAGCAGAUAUCCAGUAUAUGCCCGAAUUGUACCGAGAUAGAAAUAAAAAAAAUUGCGUCUCAAUGGUUGGCUCAAGCCAAAGUCAGACGUAUUCGCCGAGAAAAAAAAGUUAAUGAAACUUAUGAGAACAAUGACAGUGAAAAUGAAAAUGAAUAAAUAAUUCAUUUUUAAUGGUAAAUGAAAA